rnacentral:rRNA from 1 species
GAUCCUGGCUCAGGAUGAACGCUGGCGGCGUGCUUAACACAUGCAAGUCGAACGGACUUUAUAUGAAGCCUAGCGAUUGUAAAGUUAGUGGCGGACGGGUGAGUAACGCGUGAAUAACCUGCCCUGUACCGGGGGACAACAGUUGGAAACGGCUGCUAAUACCGCAUAAGCGCACGGUUCCGCAUGGAACAGUGUGAAAAACUCCGGUGGUACAGGAUGGAUUCGCGUCUGAUUAGCUGGUUGG